UGGGGAAUAUUGGACAAUGGGCGAAAGCCUGAUCCAGCCAUGCCGCGUGUGUGAAGAAGGUCUUCGGAUUGUAAAGCACUUUAAGUUGGGAGGAAGGGCAUUAACCUAAUACGUUAGUGUUUUGACGUUACCGACAGAAUAAGCACCGGCUAACUCUGUGCCAGCAGCCGCGGUAAUACAGAGGGUGCAAGCGUUAAUCGGAAUUACUGGGCGUAAAGCGCGCGUAGGUGGUUUGUUAAGUUGGAUGUGAAAUCCCCGGGCUCAACCUGGGAACUGCAUUCAAAACUGACUGACUAGAGUAUGGUAGAGGGUGGUGGAAUUUCCUGUGUAGCGGUGAAAUGCGUAGAUAUAGGAAGGAACACCAGUGGCGAAGGCGACCACCUGUACUAAUACUGACACUGAGGUGCGAAAGCGUGGGGAGCAAACA
rnacentral:rRNA from 1 species